GAUGAACGCUGGCGGCGUGCCUAAUACAUGCAAGUCGAGCGAACGGACGAGAAGCUUGCUUCUCUGAUGUUAGCGGCGGACGGGUGAGUAACACGUGGAUAACCUACCUAUAAGACUGGGAUAACUUCGGGAAACCGGAGCUAAUACCGGAUAAUAUUUUGAACCGCAUGGUUCAAAAGUGAAAGACGGUCUUGCUGUCACUUAUAGAUGGAUCCGCGCUGCAUUAGCUAGUUGGUAAGGUAACGGCUUACCAAGGCAACGAUGCAUAGCCGACCUGAGAGGGUGAUCGGCCACACUGGAGCUGAGACACGGUCCAGACUCCUACGGGAGGCAGCAGUAGCGAAUCGUCCGCAAUGGGCGGAAGCCUGACGGAGCAACGCCGCGUGAGUGAUGAAGGUCUUCGGAUCGUAAAACUCUGUUAUUAGGGAAGAACAUAUGUGUAAGUAACUGUGCACAUCUUGACGGUACCUAAUCAGAAAGCCACGGCUAACUACGUG
rnacentral:rRNA from 1 species